rnacentral:rRNA from 1 species
AGCGAACGCUGGCGGCAGGCCUAACACAUGCAAGUCGAACGGACCUUUCGGGGUUAGUGGCGGACGGGUGAGUAACACGUGGGAACGUGCCUUUAGGUUCGGAAUAAGCUCGGGAAACUGGGUCUAAUACCGAAUGUGCCCUUCGGGGGAAAGAUUUAUCGCCUUUAGAGCGGCCCGCGUCUGAUUAGCUAGUUGGUGGUGUAAUGGACCACCAAGGCGACGAUCAGUAGCUGGUCUGAGAGGAUGACCAGCCACAUUGGGACUGAGACACGGCCCAAACUCCUACGGGAGGCAGCAGUGGGGAAUCUUGCGCAAUGGGCGAAAGCCUGACGCAGCCAUGCCGCGUGUAUGAUGAAGGUCUUAGGAUUGUAAAAUACUUUCACCGGUGAAGAUAAUGACUGUAGCCGGAGAAGAAGCCCCGGCUAACUUCGUG